UAUGAAAAUACAGUGUUUACACUAGAUUGCCUGCAGGGAGCUAUAGAUCUCAUCUGAACAACUACAUUAAGCUGUACUUGUUUAGGUGACUAUAGUGUCCCUUUAAUGCCCUGUCAUGGAAAAUUUCCUGUUAAGUUGGAAGUGUUGAAAAUUCUGUCCAGCCGUUAACAGAGGCUGUCCCAAUAUGUCUUCCCUCAGCAGUAUAGUGCGACGUCCAUAUAUUAGGGGUCUCACCCGAGGUGCACAGAGUCUGAACCCUUAAGUGCUAGCCACCGCUCUGGUAGACCACAUCAAUCAGUUCUCAAACAAUUAAAUGGGUUGUCGACGGAGAAAUUCAUGUAAGCAGUGAGUGCUGAAAAUCCUGUCCAGCAGUUGACAGUCUGUAACAGCAUGCCUCCCUGCAGCAGUGCAGUGUACAUCUAAUAGGGUCCUCAAGCCGGGUGCACAGGGUAUGAACCCUAAAGUGCUGGCCAUCAGCCUUAUAGAGAGCCCCCCUCAGCUCUUCCAAUUAAUGCACUGUCAUGGGAGAUAUCCUGCUAAGCUGGAAGUGUUGAAAUUUCUGUCCAGUAGCUAACAGACAUUGUCAUAGCCUGCCUUCAUUCAGCAGUAUAGAGUAGCGUAUACAUAGCGGGGUGCCCAGUGUAUGAAAACAGUUGUUCAAAGGUCUUGGUAUAUCUCUUUAAGCCGUGUGUUCUGGGAAUCAUGUUGUAAUAGCCUGACUCUAUACAGUAGGACAAAGUAGAAUGACCUAGCCAGGGGUAACCCCAGGUGUAUAGCAGUACAGGAUAUGAACUCUAGAGUCACCGUCCUGAGAGAGCACUAAUUUGUGUUCUAACAGUAAUCUGAGGUAAUUGGGAGGUAUCCCUCAAACAUCCCUAACUGAAGUAAUUCCACAUAAGGUGUAGCACAGUCCUGAUAAGGCAUCCUAAAAACGCUACCAAACAAACAAUCUUAUAUAGGGCUAAUCCCUUCAAGUCAUUGGUGGAAUAGCGGGUGUCUUCCCUCUUCUGAACUUCUAUUCGAGAAUGUCAAGUUCCU